UAAUGUUUUGAUUUCUUUUUCAUUUUGUCUUGAGGGCUCUCUGUUAUGAGGCACCAUAAGCCAAGAGAGCCCCU
ensembl:snRNA U7 U7 small nuclear RNA